UGGGAGCAUGGCUUGCCCGCGAUGAACGAUAACGCGGUUCAGCUGCUGUUAAACCUCGGCGCGCCCAUCGCGGGCAAGCCAUGCUCCCA
rnacentral:misc_RNA from 1 species